AGCGAACGCUGGCGGCAGGCCUAACACAUGCAAGUCGAACGAACCUUUCGGGGUUAGUGGCGGACGGGUGAGUAACACGUGGGAACGUGCCUUUAGGUUCGGAAUAACUCAGGGAAACUUGCGCUAAUACCGAAUGUGCCCUUCGGGGGAAAGAUUUAUCGCCUUUAGAGCGGCCCGCGUCUGAUUAGCUAGUUGGUUGAGGUAAUGGCUCACCAAGGCGACGAUCAGUAGCUGGUCUGAGAGGAUGAUCAGCCACAUUGGGACUGAGACACGGCCCAAACUCCUACGGGAAGCAGCAGUGGGGAAUCUUGCGCAAUGGGCGAAAGCCUGACGCAGCCAUGCCGCGUGAAUGAUGAAGGUCUUAGGAUUGUAAAAUUCUUUCACCGGGGACGAUAAUGACGGUACCCGGAGAAGAAGCCCCGGCUAACUUCGUG
rnacentral:rRNA from 1 species